AGGAGGUUGGGGCUGCCGAGUUAAGCCCAGAUUGACUCGGUCCAGGUUGCUGUGGAACGUCCCAGCAACAAACCGCAUUGGGCAGUUGUGUGCUCGUCCCUGGAAGCUGCUGAGUCUAACUCAGUUCGAGCCAAGGUGAGAAUGAUCCUCUCUAGUUCAGCAAAGGGGUGAGAGAUGAGGGCGAGUUUCGAGAACUCAGUAAGUUGUUUCCCUUUCCACUUAGCUCUUGGCCUGUAUGCAUUACUGAUCCCCUGUAUCUACACUUAGCUGGGGCAUGGGCUUUAGAUGACCUUUGGUUGUGAUGAGUUAAUUAAAUCGUUUGUGGUUAGCCAUCAGUUCAGCAAACUCCAUCUAAAAUUGAGUUUAUGAGCCAUUUUGCACCUAGAGCUCUAUCCUGUCACUAGAUCAUCAACCCAGUGCACUUGGGCUUAUUUAAAGUAGAGUUUGACUCAUUUUUGGGAUGUCCUUUAGGUUAGGUUUCUCAAUGGAGAUGGUAUGGAUAAUUGUUUUAUGAAUCGGACUUUGAGUUUUGGGAUUGGGUUGAGCUAAGUCACACUCGUAUUGCACCAACUAACAAACUUGCCAACUCAGUGCUCUUCGUGAGGUCUUGAGGAGACCCGAGCGAUUGAGCUUCAUUAAGGUUCCACCACUAUAGGAGGCCUUGCCUUAAGGGCGGUUAUGAUUAUCUUACCGACUAUCUCAAAGCUCUAAAAUUUUCAUGUUGAGACUUGCCUACUUGAUCAAGUAAAAUCAAAUCAACCCUAAGUUGGACCAAGGUAUUUAGUAGAGGCUACCUUAGAUCACUCUUGUUGAAGUCAAGUAGGUGUGAACAUUACGAUUGGAUUCAAGUUGAUUACAUCUAAUAAUUGAUCAAAGUUGAUGCGGGUGUAGAGGGAGCCGAUGUUGUUUACUGGAUUGCUAGAGCAGAUCGGGUAGCUGGGGAGCUAGACGGGGUCCCUGUGGC